rnacentral:rRNA from 1 species
GACAGAGGGUGCAAACGUUGUUCGGAAUUACUGGGCGUAAAGCGCGUGUAGGCUGCCCAGCAAGUCGGAUGUGAAAUCCCUCGGCUUAACCGGGGAACUGCGUCUGAUACUGGAUGGCUUGAGUUUGGGAGAGGGACGUGGAAUUCCAGGUGUAGCGGUGAAAUGCGUAGAUAUCUGGAGGAACACCGGUGGCGAAGGCGGCUCGCUGGACCGGAACUGACGCUGAGGCGCGAAAGCGUGGGGAGCAAACAGG